GCUGGACACAGCAAAUGUAAGGUUAUACUCAUUGUUUGUCACACACAUAACUUUAGCCUAAAAAAAUUCUACAUUAAUUCUUUAUUAACUAUUUCUAUUUAAGUGUUAGUAGAAAAAAAUUUAAAAAACCUUAUUCAUACUGUACAUGAUUUAACAAACAAUGUUUAACAGCCCCCUUUCAGUUGUCCCGUUUCCAAGUCUUGAAACUGGUUCUUCUUUGUUCUUGGAUGGCUAAUUUCUGCUUAAUUUCUCCUUUUAAGCAAUACAAAAACAUACAUCCUUUCCAUCUACAAACUGUGUGUCUUAUCUUAAAGGUUAUAGGAUUCUCAGGCAGGUUUCUCAAGCAACCAAAAGUAUUAACAACAUUAUUCUCAGGCAAGUUUUUUUCAGACAAGCAAAAAUUUUAGAGCAUCAGUCCCAGGCAGGCCUCUCAGGUAAACCAAGCAAAGCUAUUUAACAGUAUUAACAACUUCUUCAAGAGUAGCUUUGCUUUUGCACUGCAGUGUAAAAUAUUCCUGCCUAGAAGGACUGUUUCAAAGCACUGAGACUGUUCAGGGCAGAUGUGAACACACCUUUUGGUGUCUCCUUGCAGCAAGCAUUUGGUGACUGACAAGUAUUUUGAACUUCAUUUUUUUUAGGAAUAACACGCGGUAUCUCUGGAAAAGAAUCCCUCCUGCCAUCAGAUCUGCAAAUGCUGAACGUGGUGCAGUUUGGUCAGUGGGACAGAGAAUCUGACAGAGAGACUUGGAAGCACUCAGAGGUCCAAAGUGACCUUGUGUGGGCAGCAGGGAAUUGCCUGAAAUGAUUCCUGUGUGCUCAAACACUAAUUAUGAGAAAUGAGAACUGUUGCCAAAUUUGUGUAGGUUUUCCUGAAAGGAUUUUAGGUAUCGGGUGUAAAUAAAAACCUCAUGACAAAACCUUGUAAAAA